rnacentral:rRNA from 1 species
AUUGAACGCUGGCGGCAUGCCUUACACAUGCAAGUCGAACGGCAGCACGGGAGCUUGCUCCUGGUGGCGAGUGGCGAACGGGUGAGUAAUACAUCGGAACGUACCCAGGAGUGGGGGAUAACGUAGCGAAAGUUACGCUAAUACCGCAUAUUCUGUGAGCAGGAAAGCGGGGGAUCGCAAGACCUCGCGCUCUUGGAGCGGCCGAUGUCGGAUUAGCUAGUUGGUGAGGUAAAAGCUCACCAAGGCGACGAUCCGUAGCAGGUCUGAGAGGAUGAUCUGCCACACUGGGACUGAGACACGGCCCAGACUCCUACGGGAGGCAGCAGUGGGGAAUUUUGGACAAUGGGGGCAACCCUGAUCCAGCCAUGCCGCGUGAGUGAAGAAGGCCUUCGGGUUGUAAAGCUCUUUCGGCGGGGAAGAAAUGGCAACGGCUAAUAUCCGUUGUUGAUGACGGUACCCGCAUAAGAAGCACCGGCUAACUACGUGCCAGCAGCCGCCGUAAGAC